UACAGAGGUCUCAAGCGUUGUUCGGAUUCAUUGGGCGUAAAGGGUGCGUAGGUGGCAUCGUAAGUCGGGUGUGAAAUUUCGGAGCUCAACUCCGAAACUGCAUUCGAUACUGCGGUGCUUGAGGACUGGAGAGGAGACUGGAAUUUACGGUGUAGCAGUGAAAUGCGUAGAGAUCGUAAGGAAGACCAGUGGCGAAGGCGGGUCUCUGGACAGUUCCUGACACUGAGGCGACGAA
rnacentral:rRNA from 1 species